AAAGCAUGCUGCCUUGCCCCUCCGCUCCCUAUGGAGCAGACUCACCUUCAAAGUGGGGGUGGGGGGCGGAGGGAAAAAGAAAGAAAGCAAAAGAAAAGAAAUCCGAACUGAAGGUUAACUUUCCCAGCCAGGUGACUUCCCCGUUAAAGGUGCAGUGGUCGCGGAUCAUGUCUUCAGGCGAGUUCGGCCUGGCGGAGAACACGAAACCCGAAGACGCCAGUCGCAGAACGUAAAAUCCACGGGGCAGUGGUAACUCCAGGCGCACUCCUCGGAAACAGAGUUGCAGUCUCAGGUCCACGCCGUCUGGGGACCGCUCGGCGCUCGGAUACUCCAACUAGAUGCUCAGGGGAGCCCCCGCCCGCGCGCCCCACGGAGCCAGAGGCUGAGACCGGGGCAGAGUCCUAGUUGGCUAGGAAGCUGAGACCCGGAUCUCGGAGUGUCCUCGUUUCUAGGAGGUCAGAUGACAGGACAACUUAUCCUGACCGGUGGGAAUCGGAGCAGGAAAGCAUCUAUAGGAGCCAAGGGUCUCUCAAAGAGAGCACCUUUCCCAGCAUUCCCACCGAUCAGCACGAGGGACUCGGCCAGAAAUGUGUCCCUCCACAUCCUGAUUCCGUUCUGGCUGUAAAGAUAAAAGUUUUCUCUCAGCCAGUAGUCAGUCUCUUUGUCUUUUUUUCCUUUCUCUUUCUUCCUAUCUUUCUUUCUUACUCCUUCCUCCCCCUCCUCCUCCUCCUCCUCUUCCUCCUCCUCCUCUUCUUUUUUUCCCCUUCUUUUUAUCCAGCCAAGGCUUUCCUGGCUCACUUUCAUUGUUUAUUGUUACUUUUGCUUUAUUUUCUUUGCCAAGUGAACCUGGUAGGGAUCCGAAGUCUCUCCAUUAAGCAGUUACACCCGGCUAAAACGCGUUUUUUGAAAGGAGAGUAAUACUUCAGGUGAGACUCAACUAAAAGAAGAAUUCUGCCGUUCGUAGAUGAAGUGAGGGAAGCAAAAUUCUCACCAGCGUCUCGCCAGCGUCGUAACAUCGGAACAAGAGAACCCUGCAGGGACUUCGCUGCGGCUCCAAUCUUCUCCUAAACAAACAGUAUUUGUGAGACUUUCCUUAGCUGUGUGUCCACCUGCUCUGCUGAGCCUCUAGCCCAGCGCUUCGCAACCUUCCUAAUGCUGGCACCCUUUAAUACAGCUCCUCAUGUUGUGGUGACCCCUCAGCCAUAAAAUUGUUUUCGUUGCUACUUCGAAACUGGAAUUUUGUUAGGAAUCCUAAUGUCAAUGUCUGAUAUGCAGGGCAUCUGCUAGAAUCCCUCUGAAAGUCCUUUGACAACACCCUCACGCAAAAGGGGUAGAGACCUCUGAUCUCACCCAUGUUACUUCAUCCGGGCCUGGCAGAUUCCAUGUAAGGCUGUGUGGUCUGAAAACCUAGUCUCAGAAAUAUUGUUUUCAGAAUGUAGCAAGUCCAUAAGGGCGUGGAUUGAACACUAGGUUCUGUGUGCUAGUGAACGUAGAGAAGGAACCUGCUUUCAGCUUUAGAAAAGAAGCCAUGUGUCUAUACAAGCUUCAUAACCACUACUACCAUUAUAUGACCACAUCAUGCCUUGCAUGUUAAAAUCCAUGAGGGCAAGGACACUGUCUUCCCCCUCCUAUCAUGCUCCAAUGGGCUCUUUAAUCCCUCAGACCCCAAGUAGACUGGAGGAGAGCCACCCUCCCCCCAGAACACAGGUUUUACUGACCAGCACCCUGUCAGUGACUCAGCCACCAUAAGAAGCCAUCAGUGAUCAAAAAGACAAUAGAGAAAGAGAGGGCGCUGCAGAGAGGGGACAGAAAGAGAAGCAGCCCCUGGGAGACUCCUGAAAGGGGUGUUUUCCUGCAGAGCCUUACUAGUCUGUUUACCUGGAACCUGUUUCUGAGAAACGUUGUGUUUGGGAAUGCAGGAGACUCUUUCCCUCCUCCAGAGGCAGGCUCGCAUUGCACCUGAAAAAGCAGGCUUACAAAAUUAUAAGUUGAGCCAGGUAUGGUGGCUCAAGCUGGUUGUCUCAGCACUCUGGAGGCUGAAGCAGGAGAUGAACCAUAAGUUCAAGGCCAGCCGGAGACACAUUGUAAGUUCUAGUCUGGCUGCAGAGUGAGAGAUGAGGCAUCCCAGCAUCCCCUCUCCAAGAACAAGGAGGAGGAGAGGGAGGAAGAGGGGAGGAGGAGGAGGAGAAGAGGAAGAGGAGGAAGAGGAAGAGGAGGAAGAGGAAGAGGAGGAGGAGGAGGAGGUGGUGGUGGUGGUCAUCGUCAUUGUAAACUAAAAACUUUUCCAUCCACUCUCUAAUGUUGACUAACUCUGUUCCUGUCAUUAUGGCUAAAUACUAAAUAUGACCAAAGAACAGUAGUGGCCACUGGCAGGGCAGCUCUCUUUGCUCAAACUCGUUUGUCCAUGGACCAUGCCCCUGCCCUUCCUCAGCUAAUGAUGCUGGGCAUAGCAAUCACGGUUGACCGGUUUGCUGCAUCCCUGAGGGACUUUUCCAGAUCACUCACUUGACAACACAAGGCUUAGGAUCUAUCCUUUCCUUACUCAGCUCCCAGGAUUCGAGCUUCCUUCUGUCUUCUGUGUACACCUGUCCCUGAUCCAUUCUUGGACUACAUCCCCAACUCUCUUCAUACUAUUUGAUUUUGUGACUGUCUCACAGGGCUGGCCUUGAACCCACUAAGUAACUCAGGCUG
ensembl:lncRNA LOC120099015 uncharacterized LOC120099015